rnacentral:rRNA from 1 species
CCUACGGGAGGCAGCAGUGAGGAAUAUUGGUCAAUGGACGAGAGUCUGAACCAGCCAAGUAGCGUGAAGGAUGACUGCCCUAUGGGUUGUAAACUUCUUUUAUAAAGGAAUAAAACGAGGCACGUGUGCCUUUUUGCAUGUACUUUAUGAAUAAGGAUCGGCUAACUCCGUGCCAGCAGCCGCGGUAAUACGGAGGAUGCGAGCGUUAUCCGGAUUUAUUGGGUUUAAAGGGUGCGUAGGCGGAAGGUUAAGUCAGCGGUCAAAUGUCGGUGCUCAACACCGGCCUGCCGUUGAAACUGGUCUUCUUGAGUGAGCGAGAAGUAUGCGGAAUGCGUGGUGUAGCGGUGAAAUGCAUAGAUAUCACGCAGAACUCCGAUUGCGAAGGCAGCAUACCGGCGCUCAACUGACGCUGAGGCACGAAAGCGUGGGGAUCGAACAGGAUUAGAUACCCUAGUAGUC